AGAGUUUGAUCCUGGCUCAGGACGAACGCUGGCGGCGUGCUUAACACAUGCAAGUCGAACGGUGAAGUCCCUUCGGGGGCGGAUCAGUGGCGAACGGGUGAGUAACACGUGGGCAAUCUGCCCCUCACUGUGGGAUAACUCCGGGAAACCGGGGCUAAUACCGCAUAUGAAGCCUGGCGGCAUCGCCGGGUUUGGAAAGUUUUUCGGUGAGGGAUGAGCCCGCGGCCUAUCAGCUUGUUGGUGAGGUAAUGGCUCACCAAGGCGACGACGGGUAGCCGGCCUGAGAGGGCGACCGGCCGCACUGGGACUGAGACACGGCCCAGACUCCUACGGGAGGCAGCAGUGGGGAAUAUUGGGCAAUGGGCGAAAGCCUGACCCAGCGACGCCGCGUGCGGGAUGAAGGCCUUCGGGUUGUAAACC
rnacentral:rRNA from 1 species